AUGACUUUGGUCUCCGUCCUCAUCUGGACUCUCCUCUGCUGCCGCUUCACAGGUAAAAUUUCCAGAGGCCAGGUCACAGUGACUCCUCUGCAGGGACUUCUGUUACGGGCACUGCAAGAAGCUGCCAGACUGAGGUGCAGCUGCACCAUCACAUGUACCACCAGUCAGGAUGUUUAUGCUUGGGGCAGUGACCAUGGUUCAGCCUGGUACCAACAGAGAGAUGGAGAAACUCCUAAACUUCUCUUUUAUCGUGCCACCAGACGACAAUCAGGGAUUUCCAGUCGUUUUUCAGGCAGUGGAUCAAACUCUCAUUUCACUCUGACCAUCAGUGAUGUUCAGGCUGAAGAUGCAGCAGUUUAUUACUGUCAGAGUUUUCAUGUUAUCAACAGUCAGAAUGUGUUCACACAGUGAAAAACCGUCGUACAAAAACCUCCUUCAGCUGCAGAGGAACUGAUCUGAUCCACAGCUGCACUGAAACUAAAACACUAGAUGGUAACAACACUAUCCAAUCCAUAACUGGGAAGAAUCACAUUAUUUAACACUUUA